rnacentral:rRNA from 1 species
AAUGAACGCUGGCGGCAUGCCUAACACAUGCAAGUCGAACGAGAUCUUCGGGUCUAGUGGCGCACGGGUGCGUAACGCGUGGGAAUCUGCCCUUUGGUUCGGAAUAACAGUUGGAGACGACUGCUAAUACCGGAUGAUGACGAAAGUCCAAAGAUUUAUCGCCAGAGGAUGAGCCCGCGUAGGAUUAGCUAGUUGGUGUGGUAAAGGCGCACCAAGGCGACGAUCCUUAGCUGGUCUGAGAGGAUGAUCAGCCACACUGGGACUGAGACACGGCCCAGACUCCUACGGGAGGCAGCAGUGGGGAAUAUUGGACAAUGGGCGAAAGCCUGAUCCAGCAAUGCCGCGUGAGUGAUGAAGGCCUUAGGGUUGUAAAGCUCUUUUACCCGGGAUGAUAAUGACAGUACCGGGAGAAUAAGCUCCGGUUAACUCCGUGCCAGCAGCCGCCGCAG